rnacentral:lncRNA from 1 species
GAAAACAUAGUUGCUGAUUUGUAUCAACCUAGCAAUGAAGAGGAACCGUACUCUUCACCAAUUGUGCAUCCUCCUGAGGACAGCAAUGCGGAACCCUCCACUGUGCAGUGUAGACAGGUGCAAUCUGAACCUCCCCGGCAAUCAAGUUCGAGUGAAAUGCAUACAAUUCGGGUUGAUUCGAAGCAUGGUGAGAGUGUGGAAUAUAUUGGUUAUGGUAGAGGCCUUUCG